rnacentral:piRNA from 1 species
UGAGAUCAUCACGUGUCCUUGUGCAA